rnacentral:rRNA from 1 species
UGCAAGUCGACGCUUCUUUUUCCACCGGAGCUUGCUCCACCGGAAAAAGAGGAGUGGCGAACGGGUGAGUAACACGUGGGUAACCUGCCCAUCAGAAGGGGAUAACACUUGGAAACAGGUGCUAAUACCGUAUAACAAUCAAAACCGCAUGGUUUUGAUUUGAAAGGCGCUUUCGGGUGUCGCUGAUGGAUGGACCCGCGGUGCAUUAGCUAGUUGGUGAGGUAACGGCUCACCAAGGCCACGAUGCAUAGCCGACCUGAGAGGGUGAUCGGCCACAUUGGGACUGAGACACGGCCCAAACUCCUACGGGAGGCAGCAGUAGGGAAUCUUCGGCAAUGGACGAAAGUCUGACCGAGCAACGCCGCGUGAGUGAAGAAGGUUUUCGGAUCGUAAAACUCUGUUGUUAGAGAAGAACAAGGAUGAGAGUAACUGUUCAUCCCUUGACGGUAUCUAACCAGAAAGCCACGGCUAACUACGUGCCAGCAGCCGCGGUAAUACGUAGGUGGCAAGCGUUGUCCGGAUUUAUUGGGCGUAAAGCGAGCGCAGGCGGUUUCUUAAGUCUGAUGUGAAAGCCCCCGGCUCAACCGGGGAGGGUCAUUGGAAACUGGGAGACUUGAGUGCAGAAGAGGAGAGUGGAAUUCCAUGUGUAGCGGUGAAAUGCGUAGAUAUAUGGAGGAACACCAGUGGCGAAGGCGGCUCUCUGGUCUGUAACUGACGCUGAGGCUCGAAAGCGUGGGGAGCAAACAGGAUUAGAUACCCUGGUAGUCCACGCCGUAAACGAUGAGUGCUAAGUGUUGGAGGGUUUCCGCCCCUUCAGUGCUGCAGCUAACGCAUUAAGCACUCCGCCUGGGGAGUACGACCGCAAGGUU